rnacentral:rRNA from 1 species
AUUGAACGCUGGCGGCAGGCCUAACACCUGCAGGUCGAACGAGUGGCGGACGGGUGAGUAAUUUCUGGGAAACUGCCUGAUGGCGGGGGAUCACUACUGGAAACGGUAGCUAAUACCGCAUCCCAUCAGAUGUGCCCAGAUGGGAUGAGCUUGUUGGUGGGGUAACGGCUCACCAAGGCGACGAUCCCUAGCUGGUCUGAGUGGAUACCCAGCAACACGGGAACGGAGACACGGUUCAGACGCCUACGGGAGGCAGCAGUGGGGAAUAUUGCACAAUGGGGGCAAGCCUGAUGCAGCCAUGCCGCGUGUAUGAAGAAGGCCUUCGGGUGGUAAAGUACUUUCAGCGGGGAGGCGUGACCCGCAGAAGAAGCACCGGCUAACUCCGUGCCAGCAGCCGCGGUAAUUC